GAGUUUGAUCCUGGCUCAGGACGAACGCUGGCGGCGUGCCUAAUACAUGCAAGUCGAGCGGACCGAAUAGAAGCUUGCUUCUAUUUGGUUAGCGGCGGACGGGUGAGUAACACGUGGGCAACCUGCCCUGUAGACGGGGAUAACACCGAGAAAUCGGUGCUAAUACCGGAUAACACGGAAUGUCGCAUGACGUUUCGUUGAAAGGCGGCGCAAGCUGUCGCUACAGGAUGGGCCCGCGGCGCAUUAGCUAGUUGGUGAGGUAACGGCUCACCAAGGCGACGAUGCGUAGCCGACCUGAGAGGGUGAUCGGCCACACUGGGACUGAGACACGGCCCAGACUCCUACGGGAGGCAGCAGUAGGGAAUCUUCCGCAAUGGACGAAAGUCUGACGGAGCAACGCCGCGUGAGCGAAGAAGGCCUUCGGGUCGUAAAGCUCUGUUGUUAGGGAAGAACAAGUAGCGCAGUAACUGGCGUUACUUUGACGGUACCUAACGAGGAAGCCACGGCUAACUACGUGCCAGCACCCGCGGUAAUACGUAGGUGGCAAGCGUUGUCCGGAAUUAUUGGGCGUAAACCGCGCGCAGGCGGUUCCUUAAGGCUGAUGUGAAAGCCCACGGCUCACCCGUGGAGGGUCACUGCACACCGGGGGACUUG
rnacentral:rRNA from 1 species